ACGGUCAAUGUCAACAUAACCUUAACAUAAUUCUAGUUCUGUCAUGAAUUCUGAGGCCUAAUAACAGUAAUAACUAGAAUUACGUUACCAUAUUAAUAGGGUUCUGAUAAAUUUCACAUUAAUUCGUAAUUUUUUUUUCUUCCUGAGAAAUCUAAGAACAUGAUUAUCCCUGUGAGGUGUUUCACGUGUGGAAAAGUAAUUGGAAAUAAGUGGGAAACAUAUUUGGGCUUACUGCAAGCUGAAUAUACAGAAGGUGAUGCUUUGGAUGCGUUAGGUUUAAAGAGAUAUUGUUGCAGAAGAAUGUUGUUGGGGCAUGUUGAUCUAAUUGAAAAACUUUUGAAUUAUGCUCCUCUGGAAAAGUAGGUAUCACUGUUUUGAGAACCUACUUUUUAUUUAUUCAUAAAAUAUAAGUAAAUAAAAAUAUAAUUGUAUAUAAUGUUUAAUUCAUUGAAUAUAUUUUGAAUUUUA